CCUACGGGUGACAGCAGUGGGGAAUAUUGCACAAUGGGGGAAACCCUGAUGCAGCGACGCCGCGUGAGUGAAGAAGUAAUUCGGUAUGUAAAGCUCUUUCAGCCGGGAAGAAAAUGACGGUACUUGAGUAAGAAGCACCGGCUAACUACGUGCCGCCAGCCGCGGUAAUACGUAGGGGGCAAGCGUUAUCCUGAUUUACUGGGUGUAAAGGGAGCGUCGUCGGCAGUGCAGGUAAGGAGUGAAAUGCGGGGGCUCAACCCCCGGACUGCUCUUGAAACUGUACGGCUGGAGUGCAGGAGAGGUAAGUGGAAUUCCCAGUGUAGCGGUGAAAUGCGUAGAUAUUAGGAGGAACACCAGUGGCGAAGGCGGCUUGCUGGACUGUAACUGACGUUGAGGCACGAAAGCGUGGGGAGCAAACAGGAUUAGAUACCCGAGUAGUC
rnacentral:rRNA from 1 species